ensembl:snoRNA U3 Small nucleolar RNA U3
AGGACUAUACUUUCAGGGAUCAUUUCUGUAGUUGGUAACUAGAGGAGUGUGAUCGAAAGUGUCCGGCGUCACAAACCACGAGGAGGAGCAGCGUGUUCUCUCCUGAGCGCGAAGCGGGCGGGCGGUGCUGCUUGUGCAGGAGCCGCCCGUCAUUGAUGACCGUUCCCGUCCCACUUGCUUGGGUCUGGGAGGGAGAGAACACAGGCUGAGUGGU